rnacentral:rRNA from 1 species
GACGAACGCUGGCGGCGUGCCUAAUACAUGCAAGUAGAACGCUGAAGCUUGGUGCUUGCACCGAGCGGAUGAGUUGCGAACGGGUGAGUAACGCGUAGGUAACCUGCCUGGUAGCGGGGGAUAACUAUUGGAAACGAUAGCUAAUACCGCAUAAUAGUAGAUGUUGCAUGACAUUUGCUUAAAAGGUGCAAUUGCAUCACUACCAGAUGGACCUGCGUUGUAUUAGCUAGUUGGUGAGGUAACGGCUCACCAAGGCAACGAUACAUAGCCGACCUGAGAGGGUGAUCGGCCACACUGGGACUGAGACACGGCCCAGACUCCUACGGGAGGCAGCAGUAGGGAAUCUUCGGCAAUGGACGGAAGUCUGACCGAGCAACGCCGCGUGAGUGAAGAAGGUUUUCGGAUCGUAAAGCUCUGUUGUAAGAGAAGAACGAGUGUGAGAGUGGAAAGUUCAC